rnacentral:lncRNA from 1 species
ACCAGGGUCUUGCUGUGACACACAGGGCUGGGUGGCUGGGCCCGGAUUUUGAGGUGACCCAGGGCAGAAGGCAACCAAGUGGACUUUGACUCCAGGCUUGAGGGGGAUCUAUGAGUUUUGCUUGCACUAAUCUGUGAAUCUUGCUUACAGGGACUGUGGCUGCCAGGCAUCCCUGAACAGGAGCUGCUGCUGGAUGGACUUCAGCUUUGUCUUGAUGUGGAGGAGAGCAGGAAUGCUGUCAAUGCCAGGCAUCAGUCUUUCUGUUGCAGACUCCAGGCAUUAUUGGUUUGGGCCCAGUUCCCCCAAGUUCUUUUCAAACCAAGUGGCUGUGCUGAGGCGACCCUGUGCACAGAGGAAAUGUGUCUAAGAGGCUAGACCAUGCUGGCAGACCUCCAAGCCCUUGUGCUGAUUUGCCCUGGUGGAGACUCCAACCCACUGUUGCUGUCUGGGAAAACCAGAUCCAUGUGUCCUUGAGAAGAGCACAUUGAAGAUC